AGAGUUUGAUCCUGGCUCAGAAUCAACGCUGGCGGCGCGCUUAACACAUGCAAGUCGCACGAGAAAGGGGAGCAAUCCCUGAUCGAGUGGCAAACGGGUGAGUAACACGUGGGUGACCUACCUUCGAGUGGGGGAUAACGUCCCGAAAGGGACGCUAAUACCGCAUGACAUCCUGCUUUUGGAAAAGCGGACAUUAAAGCUGGGGAUCGCAAGACCUGGCGCUUGAAGAGGGGCCCGCGCCUGAUUAGCUAGUUGGUGAGGUAACGGCUCACCAAGGUUACGAUCAGUAUCCGGCCUGAGAGGGCGGACGGACACACUGGGACUGAGACACGGCCCAGACUCCUACGGGAGGCAGCAGUGGGGAAUUGUUCGCAAUGGGCGAAAGCCUGACGACGCAACGCCGCGUGGAGGACGAAGAUCUUCGGGUCGUAAACUCCCGUCGAGCGGGAAGAACGCUUCCUGGAUAAAUAUUCCGGGAAAUUGACGGUACCGCUAAAGGAAGCCCCGGCUAACUCCGUGCCAGCAGCCGCGGUAAUAC
rnacentral:rRNA from 1 species